rnacentral:piRNA from 1 species
UGUGUUUUCAGACUCCCGGGGGUGG